ACAAUGAUUUUCGACCUUGAGUAGAAGGCGAAUGGGCGUUUAAAAAUUUGUAAUAAGAAUUUUAAGGUCUUUUAAUUGGUAUUUCUUGAAUGAUCAAAGAAAAUUUGGGCUAUAUUUGAAAUUUUAGCAAAUAUCUGUAAAUGUAUGCUCCUGGUCGUAUUUGACAAGAGUGGUAAAAUCCCUAUGAAUAAUAAGUUAGCGAAACAGUUAGCUCCUCAAUUCUUCCUGUAGUAGUAUUUGGAAGCCGGUACAGGUGAGUGCAGUCGAUCACUCUUUUUUUUUAAAUUAACUUUAAAUCAAGUUUAACUUUUUUUUUUCUGUAAUUAAGAGGUCAAUUAGGCCUUUACUAAAACCUUUAUAUACGCCAAAUAGCUAAUAUUAUAGAAAUUAAUUAUAUUAAUAAACCAAACUAAAUACUAUGAAACAUGAUUAAGCCAAUACCUACAAUAAGACAACCGAUAGCCAAGCUACUACGCCUUUGUUUGUAAUAAAUGACAAACAAAUAAGGUACUCAUACUAAAUAAUAAACAAUAUUGAACGUUCAAUAUCAUUCUAACAUUAACGGCUUUAUGCCAGAUAAGAAACUAUUUUUAAUGCAGAUAUAUUGGCCUUAUAGAAAUUUUAUUAAAAUCUUUAUAAAGAUAGAUACUGAGUAAUUCAUUUUUAAAUAUUUUUCAACAAUUAACAGCAAUUUAAAACGUUUAACAUGAAAUCGUCGAUUGGAACAUUUAUUCUACUAAUAAUAUAUGCCGAAGCCUGUUUUUAUCAACGUAUUGUAAGGAAACAGAGCGCACCCCGUCAUUUUGUGGCAAAAAUUGAUAGCAGAAGAUCAACGUUCAAAUACAAUAUUUCCAUAACAUCACCUACAACUAUACAACCUUUGACUAAUGUUUCUACGGAAUCAUCUCUAAUACACCAAAUAAGAAAUUGUACACCAAAUGAAGAAAUUCAACAAAAUUGCAGAAGAGGUGUACCUUGUGAAGUUUCAUACAUUUCAAAUGGAACCCACGAAGUUGGGAAUAUAUAUUGCCGUUGUCCGGCAGGAUAUUCGGGUCCUCGUUGUCAUUUACCCGGAGCCUAUACAGCUUUAUCUAACGUUGGAACAGGAUUAAUUGCUUUUGCAGUAUCAGCAGUUGUUAUUACAAUUUUUGUCGGUAUUCUAUUUGUUUUUCUAUAUAAAAAAAAGAAAGCAAAAUCUGAAGGUAGAUAUUGUUGUGCAGCCAAUAGACCAGAAGCCCAACACCUAAAUCGAGAAGUUGCUCUUGGCAGUCUAGAAUCUUCACAUUUAAAUGGAAAACCGGAAGUAUCUUGAAGAAUAUAAAUAAUUUAGUAACGUUUAUUUUUUUUCUUUUUAGUAAAAAAUUGUUUUAGUUAUUUUAAGUGUUUGCUAUUUUUUUAAAAUAUAUAUAUAUAUAUAAGUUUUAUCUGAAA
rnacentral:misc_RNA from 1 species